AUUGAACGCUGGCGGCAGGCCUAACACAUGCAAGUCGAGCGGAUGAAGAGAGCUUGCUCUCUGAUUUAGCGGCGGACGGGUGAGUAAUGCCUAGGAAUCUGCCUGGUAGUGGGGGAUAACGUUCCGAAAGGAACGCUAAUACCGCGUACGCCCUACGGGAGAAAGCAGGGGACCUUCGGGCCUUGCGCUAUCAGAUGAGCCUAGGUCGGAUUAGCUAGUUGGUGAGGUAAUGGCUCACCAAGGCGACGAUCCGUAACUGGUCUGAGAGGAUGAUCAGUCACACUGGAACUGAGAAACGGUCCAGACUCCUACGGGAGGCAGCAGUGGGGAAUAUUGGACAAUGGGCGAAAGCCUGAUCCAGCCAUGCCGCGUGUGUGAAGAAGGUCUUCGGAUUGUAAAGCACUUUAAGUUGGGAGGAAGGGCAGUAAGUUAAUACCUUGCUGUUUUGACGUUACCGACAGAAUAAGCACCGGCUAACUUCGUGCCAGCAGCCGCGGUAACAC
rnacentral:rRNA from 1 species